UACGUAGGUGGCAAGCGUUGUCCGGAUUUACUGGGCGUAAAGAGCGCGCAGGCGGUCGUUCAAGUCGCGUGUGAAAGCCCCCGGCUCAACUGGGGAGGGUCACGCGAUACUGAUCGACUCGAAGGCAGGAGAGGGUAGUGGAAUUCCCGGUGUAGUGGUGAAAUGCGUAGAUAUCGGGAGAACACCAGUGGCGAAGGCGGCGAUCUGGGAAGAUACUGACGCUGAGGUGCGAAAGCGUGGGGAGCAAACAGGG
rnacentral:rRNA from 1 species